rnacentral:rRNA from 1 species
UACGUAGGGUGCGAGCGUUGUCCGGAAUUAUUGGGCGUAAAGAGCUCGUAGGCGGUGUGUCGCGUCGGCCGUGAAAACCUGGGGCUCAACUCUGGGCGUGCGGUCGAUACGGGCAUCACUUGAGUUCGGCAGGGGAGACUGGAAUUCCUGGUGUAGCGGUGAAAUGCGCAGAUAUCGGGAGGAACACCCGUAGCGAAGGCGGCACUCUGGGCCGGUACUGACGCUGAGGAGCGAAAGCGUGGGGAGCAAACAGG